rnacentral:lncRNA from 1 species
UCUCAUUGGGUUGGAGAACCGGCGAAUUGAGGUGUUGUUGGCUUCAUACUCGGUGGUUGUGGGCUUGUUGGUAGAGUUACAUCACCGGUGUAGGUCAUGGGUCUCGUUUGGUUCGUGUUUCUCCUGUUUGCAGCCUUAACUAGGAUGUUUAGAGUCUGGUGAAGUUGUUUAGUUUAGUUAAGCUUGGUUGAGGUUGUUGAUGCAUUGGAAGAGCUUUGUGGAGAGAGCGUGUGGCUGGGUUUCUAUCGGGUUGCUUGGAAGACUUCUCUAGUCUCAAAAUUGUUUUCUGGUGCAAGGUUGCAGGUUAACCCGGCUCUGAUGUGGGGUGAUAAUUCUUCCAUCGAUUC